rnacentral:rRNA from 1 species
CAGCGAAACUGCGAAUGGCUCAUUAUAUAAGUUCACUCUGUUAUAUUUGAUAGUGCCUUACUACUUGGAUAACCGUGGUAAUUCUAGAGCUAAUACAUGCUAAAAACCCCGACUUCGGAAGGGGUGUAUUUAUUAGAUACAAAACCAAUGCCCUUCGGGGCUCUUUGGUGAUUCAUGAUAACUAUACGAAUCGCACGGCCUUGCGCCGGCGAUGGUUCAUUCAAAUUUCUUCCCUAUCAACUUUCGAUGUUUGGGUAUUGGCCAAACAUGGUUGCAACGGGUAACGGAGGGUUAGGGCUCGACCCCGGAGAAGGAGCCUGAGAAACGGCUACUACAUCCAAGGAAGGCAGCAGGCGCGCAAAUUACCCAAUCCCGACUCGGGGAGGUAGUGACAAUAAAUACUGAUACAGGGCCCUUUCGGGCCUUGUAAUUGGAAUGAGUACAAUUUAAAUCCCUUAACGAGGAACAAUUGGAGGGCAAGUCUGGUGCCAGCAGCCGCGGUAAUUCCAGCUCCAAUAGCGUAUAU